CUGGAGGAUGGGGGCGAAGACGCUAACGACCACUCCUUUUGAACGUGAUCCGGCUGUCUGUUGACUUGUCCUUGUGUGUUUCCACCUGUCCGUGGCCCUGUACCACGAAGCUCGCUUAGAGGGUUAGCGAGCAAAUCGAAAAAAUGCAGAGGCCCGGCAGACUGGAGGGGGUCCACCACCUGCAGCCCUCACAGAGGCUGAGGAGAUGGCCCUAAGCCAACAGAGUAUGCGUCCUGUGGCUGAGGGCAUCCCUGGGGGGAGCUCCUCUGAUCCCCCCCACCAGGAUAGAAGUGCCUUUACAGUAUAAGAGUUACUGAUGGCGUCAUCGCCCUACUUGAACCAGAUGCCCUCACCAACCUCCAGGCAAUUGUAACAAUUCAAAAGAUGCAAAAGGAUGCUUUGGAGAUCCACAUUUUGGAACAUAAGUUAUAGGUGGGUGAGGUGCAAACUGGGAUACUGUUCCCUGCUCUAAAAACAUACCCAAUAUAAAUGACUUUUUUUUUUUUGUGCUUUUAGCAAAUAAAAAAUCCUCAUAAUAAGUAGAUUUCUCUUUAUUAGAACACGGGCUGUGGUGGGACAAGUUAUUUUGUUGAACAGUUUACUCAAAGGGUUUUACUUCAGUGAACAAUGCAGACGAUUAUGCUGAGCAUGUGCAUGUAGAGAAGAACAGCAUCUGGUUAAAAGCAGUACCAGGGUCUUUUGCCUUGCAUUCUUAAAAUGAGUUUCUUGACUUGCAGCAGUUAUAGGUCCGUGGUUAGUCAGCUACUCUGAACAUGGGAAAGCCACAACGUUGAAGAGACUGUAGAGAGCGGGUGGGAUGCACGGGGCGGAUCAUUCUGCACAUGCGUUAAUU
ensembl:lncRNA